rnacentral:rRNA from 1 species
UACCAGCUCUCCGAGUGGUGUGGAUGUUUAUUGGGCCUAAAGCAUCCGUAGCUGGCUGGGCAAGUCCCCUGUUAAAUCCACCGAUUUAAUCGUUGGUGUGCGGGGGAUACUGUUCGGCUAGGGGACGGGAGAGGCCGACGGUAUUUCCGGGGUAGGGGUGAAAUCCUAUAAUCCCGGGAAGACCACCAGUGGCGAAGGCUGUCGGCUAGAACGCGCCCGACGGUGAGGGAUGAAAGCUGGGGGAGCGAACCGGAUUAGAUACCCGGGUAGUCCCAGCUGUAAACGAUGCAGGCUAGGUGUUUGGGCGGCCACGUGCCGCUCUACUGCCGCAAGGAAGCUGUUAAGCCUGCCGCCUGGGGAGUACGGCCGCAAGGCUGAAACUUAAAGGAAUUGGGCGGGGGAGCGACCACAAGGGGUGAAGCUUGCGGUUU